rnacentral:sRNA from 1 species
GAUCCGCCAUCUGCGGUGGGUGUCUGCACUUCGGCUGCUCUCGGGUUAGCACCCUAUGGUGCCUUCUCUUGUGAUCCCUGACCUAACCUGUCUCUUCCUUUUCCUCAACCUCAGGUGGAGCCGCCACCAAAAUGCAGAUUUUCGUGAAAACCCUUACGGGGAAGACCAUCACCCUCGAGGUUGAACCCUCGGAUACGAUAGAAAAUGUAAAGGCCAAGAUCCAGGAUAAGGAAGGCAAGUAGUAUUUUGUAGUUAAGAAAACUUAACCUGCGGAGACUUCGGCCUACCUGUAGGUGCUAGACAUACCUGCUCUUGGUGAGGGGGGAAGGGGUCAGAUUGACAAAGCGAAAUACUUGUGGAAUAACACAAUAAACAUUGGUGAUCGGGGAGCACAGUGCCUAGAUUGGAAUCCUUGAGGUGCGUUUCACUUGCGUGAAUUUGGACACUUAUUUAUUUAUUUUUGUGUGAGAUGGAGUCUCCUCUGUCGCCCAGGCUGGAGUGCAUUCGCUCGUCCCGGCUUACUGCAGCCUCCGCCU